CUAUGAUAACAAGACGAGACACGUGUGUAUGCAACAUUGCAGCACCAUGAUCACCUUGAUUUCUUCCAUAAUUCCUUAUUCACAAGAUUUGCAUGCCAGCUCGUAUCUCAUUUUGAUGUGUUGUCGAAUAUAGUUUAUUCGUUAUUUGAGCUUCGUUUAGCCUUGAAAACUUUUUUUUCUGGGAAGGUUUUCCGUUCCCAGUGAAUGUAUCAACCGCAUGUAAUGUACAACGGGUGGGCAGAUAAUCCAAUAAGGUGGUAAGGUGGACCACGACAGGGCGGAGGAGGGUUGCGUCACCGUGGAGGCCUCGUCUGGCUCAAGAUAGAUGAGUAUUUCUUUAUAGAACUCGCAAGAAAUCACACACACAUACACACACGCGUCUCUUAUAAAUGAGCUCUGACGAGCAGACUAUCACAUCAACGUCAGAUUAACUAUCACUAGCGGUCAUGUCAAAUGGUAGGAGAGGGAGGAGGGGCGUCUGGCAGCGGGAUGGCUCGCGGCUGCAGGCAAGGCGGCAUUGUGGCUUCCUCAGCGCCCCUGUCUCGUGCUAUCUGCUUUGACGGGAGAACCUGCAGGAGGAACGUGGUCCAUUACUGCUCAACCUUACAUGUUGCUUGGCGGCGAUGGAUCUUCCCAUUGAGAUGUGCCCCGGCGGCACGCCGUCCACACAUCUAGCCAGCGACCACUGCCACGCUCAGGACAGAUCUCCACCACAUGCCUCUGCUGGACAAAGGACCCUUCGUAUAGCCGGAGAGACUCACAACCGUUCCUUGUCACGAAGGCGGCCAGGUUCCCGCCUAUUCCAUCGUCCCGUCUGAAUCACCAAGUGAAUGCCCUGAAAUCCUGAACAUCGUGAACGACAAUGUGCAGAUCAUUUACCAUGUGUCUCCUUUAUAUACAUUAAUCACUGUCAUAAUGUGAUUAAUAUCCAGAUGCACCUGGAUGUCCGUGACGACAAAAUAGUGUUAUUUACAUUUCCAUCAAGAAAGACAGGCCGCGACGUCAUACUUGGUGUAUCUGUUUACAGUCCUCGCAAUAACUGCAUGUAUCCCAUUGAUAAUUUCAACAUAAAAAAAAAUGAAAGGAUCAUAUUUAUUAACUGACUUUUCCUGCCACAACUUAUGGAAAAGAAUUAUUGUUUAUAUUGUAAGAGAUCGGGCGAGGUUGGGUGGCCCAGCUUAGCGUAACACACAAGAUCUGAUGUAUUCUUUCUUACUCCGAGCAAUGUUUUCAUAGACCAGUUAUACACUUAUGACUGAUUUCGUAUCACACACACACACACACACACACACACACACACACACACACACACACACACACACACACACACACACACACACACACACACACACACACACACACACACACACACACACACACACACACACACACACACACACA